rnacentral:lncRNA from 1 species
CUUCAACAUACGAAUUGGGGGGGAAGCUAUUCAGUCCAUAGCACCCCGAGUUGGGAGCCAAGCUUGGCUAAUCCAAGGCAAGACACAGAGAAGGCCAGGGGCGCGGUGAGAGCGCUUCAGACGAGGCGGCAGAGGCAGGCAGCGAUCGGCUCACACGGCCUUCACGAGCCAGGCUGGGCAUCUUGGAUUUCGCCUCCUACGUGUCAGGCACACACCACAGGCCCUUCGGCCACGAUCUCAUUUCAUAGUCCCCAUGACUCUGCAAGGGACAUCCUAUCUCUGCCAAUCUCACAGGGGAGGAGACCGGAGCCCGAGCACAGUGCUGGCAGAAGAGAGCCACCCGGCCCUCACCCAUCUUUCUGCUGAGCCCGGGAGCAGCCCUGAGCUGAGCGGGAGGCUGACCCCCCAGACGGAGAUGCCCCGGGAGCAGAUAAGGGAUUAGAAGUGGAUCUAGCACCUGGUCCUGCUGAGGGCUUCCGAGGCCUCAGGGGGAUCAGGCACAGGCCUGGCGAGUUGGGACAGGGUUUUUCAAGAGAUCGUUAAUCAGCACUCCACAGACAAGGGCGCCACGGCCACCAGCACCUGGGCACAGGAGACAUCCAGGUACAGCAGACGCUCUCGAGUGUCCCUGCUCACAAGGAAGAACCAGCCCAGGAGGGAGACCGAGAAACACUGUGGGAGGUUACACACCAGAGGGAUGAUGCUCACAGCACCUGCCACGUCCUGAGUCCCUCCCGUGUGUCCUGUGCUGGAGCCUCUCGCGCAUCAUCUCUACUCCUCACAGUGGAGUCCCCUGCACAGAUGGGACAAAUGAAGCUCAACGGCUUUGGGAGUCACAGAAGUUAAAAGUUCCCGGAAAUCACACCCUAGAACUAUGUAAAUAUUAUGAUGAAAUUGCUACCAUUUCUGUUUUACAAUGACCCCCAAAGCAGCACUUCUGGAACCAUCUGUGGAGAAGGACUGGUUUUUAAAAAUUUCUAAUCUGUCACAGACCAAAACUUUUAUAAAAUACAAGAAAAAUGAGUUACUAGGAAAAUAAAAUGAAAAAAAUUACAAGCCUAUUUCUUUAUUAUGAGACUCAAGACAUAAAAUUACUCUACCAAAUUGCUCAUAAGUUCUCAACCCUUAAUUUCUGCAUCCACUUUGAUAGAGAGGAACUUGUCCAGGGUUCUCUGUCGCAGGCACAGAUCUAGGACAAACGCAUAUUCUCCUCGUAAGAGCUAAGUGCUCUCAGACAAAUCCCAUUUUGGAGAUGAGGACUCUGUUGCUCAGAGAAGGUAAGUGGCCUGCCCAAGAUCACACAGCUGGUGAGUGGCAGGGCUGGGGUUCAGACCUGGGGCUGUGUGCCUUGUUGCAUUCAACCAUCCGGCAAGUGCAGCCCCGUCGGCCCCUUAGCCUUGUCCCUCCUCUUAACACAAGGUCAAGAGCCCUGCA